rnacentral:rRNA from 1 species
UACGAAGGGGGCUAGCGUUGCUCGGAAUCACUGGGCGUAAAGGGUGCGUAGGCGGGUCUUUAAGUCAGGGGUGAAAUCCUGGAGCUCAACUCCAGAACUGCCUUUGAUACUGAAGAUCUUGAGUUCGGGAGAGGUGAGUGGAACUGCGAGUGUAGAGGUGAAAUUCGUAGAUAUUCGCAAGAACACCAGUGGCGAAGGCGGCUUACUGGUCCGGUUCUGGACGCUGAGGCGCGAAAGCGUGGGGAGCAAACAGG